UAUCGACGCCUCCUACGCAUAAGGUCGGAACACAUUUUUUGAGUAAAAUUGUUUUUUUGUGCCAUUAGAACACUAUUGAACAGCACUACACAAUCCUGAAACCCAAAUUUUAAUAUUUUCUAUAAAUAAUGAGUUUUUGAAUUGAUAAUAGUCGUAACAUUUGAACGCUCCCGCGCAAAUCGUCGCGCUUAUAGUUCCGACGAUGCGCUCCGAUCUAUUCGACCACAGCCGGCCUUUCAGAGCGCAGUACCGACGUCGUAUGACACGAACUAGCAUGCACAAAGUCUCUCUAAUUUAAAUGUUGAAAAUAAUAUUGAUGUUGUGUUGUUUUUAUUUACUUUUGUUCGUUAGGACGUGUGCAAUAAUAAAUUAGUGAAAUGAGCAACCUAAGUUCGUCUAAGAUUUUGAAAUUAGUGUUAGAUAAACCCAAUCCAAACAGCGAAGUAAUGACGGCCGACGAAAAUUUUGGAAAUGAAUCACCGGUACCACUUGAAACUGAAGACCAGUGGAAUCUGUACAAGAUGUUUGGGCACUCUUUUAAUAAAAGUAGCAGUGAUAUUGACAACAGUUUUGUAACAAGUAUUCACGAGGUAACGUCUAAUACGGAAGCAAAAUCCUCACUGACGUCUGCUAUGCCAAAUGAAAAAACUAUAAGAUGUAUGGAUUCAGAGCUAUGUGCUGAAGAGUUUUCUCACGAAUCAGCUGAUAUAAUAGAACCUUCUUUAACACCAAUGCCCUCCCCGAAUAACGUUUUUUUCGAGUACAGUGUGGCCACUUCAACUCCGUUAUUUAGAAACUCAUCUAUUUGUGAUGAUAAUAAUUAUGGUUCAACUAGUAGUGUUAGUAGAGGCAAUACACCACAGCUUAGUAACGCUUUGAGUCAGGAUUCUUCUGUAUGUUCGUCAAAUGAAAGUACACCGUCAGGCAGAGUUGGAAGAAAGCGUCACCGUCGCCGUGAUGAGUGGAAAGACGUCAAAAGAAAAUGUUUAAAAAUUUUAGGGAAAGCCUAUUUAAGAAGAAAUGGAGUUCAAAGAGAUGGAAAGAUUUUGAAACAACCAUGUCCGACUACUUGCCGACUUAAAUGCUUUACAAAAUUUAAUGCACAAGAACGGGAGCGUAUAUUUUGUUGUUUUUGGCAAAUUGGAGAUCACUGUCGGCAAUAGGCGACACUAAGUAUCCUUCUACUUCUAGACGUAAGAAAUCCAUUAAGUAUUGCUUGCUCUUAUUGAACCAAACUCUGACAUACCUAUUAGAGUGUUUGUCUGCAAAACGAUGUUCCUAAACACACUUUCUGUAGGGGAGAGAACUGUUCAAACAGCAUUGGCAAAAUGGAGUUCAGAUGGUGGGUCUGUUUCUCCUGAUCGGCGUGGUGGUACCAGAACUGUUGUCAUUGACGACGAAAUGAAACAGAGUGUUUUAAGGCAUGUCAAAACGUUCCAGCCUAUUGAAUCUUAUGUGCGUAAGGACACUACUAAAAUUUACUUAGAGAGUGACCUAACAUUUACAAAAAAGUUUUCAUUAUUACAAUGAGUGGUGUACGAUUGAAAAUAUAACUAAAAAAGCAAUGACAGUAAGACAGUAUCGAAAUAUCAUAAAUCAAAAUUUGAAUAUAUCAUUUCACAAACCGAAAAAAGACAUCUGCAAUGAGUGCCAUAUAUACAAUACAAACUUAAAUACAAUGACAGAAGAAGAAAAACAAAAACAAGAACUUCACAUGCGAAACAAGACUAAAGCUAGAGAAGUGAAGGCAAAUGAUAAAAAGGAAGCUUUGGAAAGCAAAGGAAAAAUAGUUCCGGCGUGUUUUGAUUUCCAAAAAAAUUUAAACUGUCCCCAUGGCAAUGUCGGUUUAUUUUAUUAUAAAAGAAAAUUGUCAAUUUAUAAUUUUACUGUAUUUGAUGUAGCUAGUCAAGAAGGUCCGAGAUUAAUGGCAAACAUGGGGCGUGUGAAGUAGCAAGUUGCUUGUCUAAAUUUAUUGAAACUAAAGUUAGUCAAGGUGCCAAAGAAUUCCGGUUUUGGUCCGAUAACUGUGCCGGCCAAAAUAGGAAUCGUAUUGUGUUUGCAUGAUAACAUGGGUAGGUAUAAACCUAUGUAGCAAAAAAGUAUGGUAUAACGAUAGUUCAUAGGUUUUUAGAGCGCGGGCACACACAAAAUGAAGCCGACUCAGUUCAUGCUUUGAUUGAGAGAAAUGCAAAAAAUAAACUUAUAUAUACUCCUGCACAGUGGUUUGCCUUAGUUAGAUAGGACGUAUAAUACCUCAAGAGUACCAUAGUUUUUAUCAACAGUUGUCACACAGCGGCAAUGUUGCAGAACAGAACAGUAGUGAUUCCUCUGAAUAACCGUCAAUUACAUCACUGCUAUUCUAUCAUAAAUCUAAAGGUCUAUUAUGUAUAAGAUGAUUCAAUAUCUAAUUUAAAGUAAUUUUCAUUUUAUUUUGAAGAUUUAAAUAUUUUUUGUUUCCUUUAACUUGGUUUAUAAGUCUUAUUUUUAAUUUUUAUUUGUAGUCAUUUUUUAUUUCAUUAAUCUAUCUAUGCUCCAAAGACUCACUGGCCAGUUUUAAUUUUAUUAGUGAAGCAAUUUUUUUUUUACUAAACGUUUAUUAUACUGUUCAUGGUAAUGAAAGAAGACUGCAAUAUGUUCCUAUACUUAUAGAUAUUUUAAUAAAGCUAGUUUUAGCCUACACUUUUUGUAGUUUUUAUUAAUGAAGUACCACCACCACAUACGACCACCUUUUCGAGAUACCUAUAUGGCAGUUUACACGUAGCAUAAUGUCGUAAUUCAAACAUACGACUUUAUUCGCGUUGUUUAUAACAACAUGAUUAAAAGCAUAAAGUCGUAACAAUAAGAUACGACGUUUCUCUAGUGAGUAUAAGGUCGUAUGUAACUAAAAUUAGUAAUUUUGCAUAAAUAUAAUUUUUUAUAGCAUCCAGCUUUGAGAGCAAUGUUUUGUAACUAAUAAUUAA